GACAGAGGUGCCAAGCGUUAGGCGGAAUCACUGGGCUUAAAGCGUGUGUAGGCGGAUUCCUAAGUACCUUGUGAAAUCCCACGGCUUACCCGUGGAACUGCUCGGUAUACUGGUUGUCUUGAGCCACCUAGGGGCGAGUGGAACAAAUGGUGGAGCGGUGAAAUGCGUAGAUAUCAUUUGGAACGCCAAUGGUGAAAACAACUCGCUGGGGGUGUGCUGACGCUGAGACACGAAAGCCAGGGGAGCAAACGGG
rnacentral:rRNA from 1 species